rnacentral:lncRNA from 1 species
UGACAAGGAAAGACUCCGAUACCCAUAUGCCUGGAUGGAAAGACAAGAUACAGUGCUACAAUUGUGGAAGAUUUGGACAUUUUAGAAAUGAAUGUAGAGCUCCUAAGAAGCCUUACAAUGGAAACAAUGGUAGGGGAAACGGAGCAGUGCGGCCUUUACACUACAACAGUCGGCACAGGCGGAUGGAAAGAAGAAAAAUUAACGUGGGAGCAGAUGCUUCAAACAUGGAAGCUGGUGCGUACAUUGACGUCGCAGUUCAUAAUCAGCC